GGCUGGGUAGCUCAGUGGUUAGAGCACCUGGUAUAUGAUGGGGGCCUGGUUUCAAAUCCUAGUCUGGUCU